rnacentral:rRNA from 1 species
AGCGAACGCUGGCGGCAGGCCUAACACACGCAAGUCGAGCGCCCAGCAAUGGGAGCGGCAGACGGGUGAGUAACGCGUGGGGAUCUGCCCAAUGGUACGGAAUAACCCAGGGAAACUUGGAUUAAUAACGGAUGUGCCCUUCGGGGGAAAGAUUUAUCGCAAUUGGAUGAACCCGCGUCGGAUUAGCUAGUUGGUGUGGUAAAGGCGCACCGAGGCGACGAUCCGUAGCUGCUCUGAGAGGAUGAUCAGCCACACUGGGACUGAGACACGGCCCAGACUCCUACGGGAGGCAGCAGUGGGGAAUAUUAGACAAUGGGCGCAAGCCUGAUCCAGCCAUGCCGCGUGUGUGAUGAAGGCCUUAGGGUUGUAAAGCACUUUCGCCGGUGAAGAUAAUGACGGUAACCGGAGAAGAAGCCCCGGCUAACUUCGUGCCAGCCGCCGCGGUAAUAC